rnacentral:rRNA from 1 species
CCUACUGGAGGCUGCAGUGAGGAAUAUUGGUCAAUGGGCGCGAGCCUGAACCAGCCAAGUAGCGUGAAGGAUGACUGCCCUACGGGUUGUAAACUUCUUUUAUAAAGGAAUAAAGUGAGGCACGUGUGCCUUUUUGUAUGUACUUUAUGAAUAAGGAUCGGCUAACUCCGUGCCAGCAGCCGCGGUAAUACGGAGGAUCCGAGCGUUAUCCGGAUUUAUUGGGUUUAAAGGGAGCGUAGAUGGGUUGUUAAGUCAGUUGUGAAAGUUUGCGGGUCAACCGUAAAAUUGCAAUUGAUACUGGCAGCCUUGAGUACAGUAGAGGUGGGCGGAAUUCGUGGUGUAGCGGUGAAAUGCUUAGAUAUCACGAAGAACUCCGAUUGCGAAGGCAGCUCACUGGACUGCAACUGACACUGAGGCUCGAAAGUGUGGGUAUCAAACAGGAUUAGAUACCCGGGUAGUC